UGAUAUCUUAGAUGACCCAAAGCUAAACUUAGUAACCAAAUAUAUUAUGCAGAACAGAUCUUCUACAGUCUUUAAAUUUAAGGUGUAUUCGUCACAGGUGUGAGAUCUUAACUCAUUCAAUUUAAAAGUUGGUAACGAAACCGAGUAUACAAUUAGUCAACAGGGCUUUUGGCAAACUAAUUUGCAAACAGAGCAGGUCAUGUUACUUUACUAAUUUGCAAACUACAUUUACACAUUGAAGUAUUUUAUGUGAACUGUUCUCAAACCUCAUUUUAUUUUGCA